rnacentral:rRNA from 1 species
AUACGUAGGGUGCAAGCGUUAAUCGGAAUUACUGGGCGUAAAGCGUGCGCAGGCGGUUUUGUAAGACAGUGGUGAAAUCCCCGGGCUCAACCUGGGAACUGCCAUUGUGACUGCAAGGCUGGAGUGCGGCAGAGGAGGAUGGAAUUCCGCGUGUAGCAGUGAAAUGCGUAGAUAUGCGGAGGAACACCGAUGGCGAAGGCAAUCCCCUGGGCCUGCACUGACGCUCAUGCACGAAAGCGUGGGGAGCAAACAGGAUUAGAUACCCUGGUAGUCCACGCCCUAAACGAUGUCAACUGGUUGUUGGGGAUUUAUUGACUCAGUAACGAAGCUAACGCGUGAAGUUGACCGCCUGGGGAGUACGGCCGCAAGGUUGAAACUCAAAUGAAUUGACGGGG